AUUUCAGGGAUAUGUUGAAUUUACUUAAUUAAAAGAUGUUAUAAAUCUGUUUUUCAGUGUGGAAAAUCUAUUGCAGCUUUGUUACAUACACAAAGAAGAGGAAAGGGCACUGGGAGUUGAACAUUCAUUCACUAUUGGAAAAGACUGGUAAAAUGCAUGCGCUACACAACAACAUUGUGGAUACUGGGCAAAAACAUCCUACCAAAUGAAGAAAAGGAACUGGCUGACAAUCAACAUAAGCCCAGGAUAAGACUAAGAUGGAAGAGAGAAAACAUCUCCAACACAAUGCAAGGCAGGUGAUCCUUCUAUGAUUGCGAUGCUCUCUUCUUCAAUUCUUGCUCUUUCCUAGUGGCAUAAUCGGC
rnacentral:lncRNA from 1 species